GGGCAGAUGAUAACAUACUUGACA
rnacentral:misc_RNA from 1 species